CUUUAACAAUCUGGAACAAGCUGAAAAAUUGAAACUGUUGAUAAUAUCACCGAGGUAUUAUUGACGAGUCUCUCAAGCUGCACAAUCCGAGACAGUUUCGG
rnacentral:sRNA from 1 species